rnacentral:lncRNA from 12 species
GUAUUUUUUUCUUCCACUAGGAACAAUUUCCUGGGAUGUGGUGUCCAGCUGUGUGCACGUGUGAUAUACUGAAAAUAAGGGGCACGGCUACUUUGGAGAGUGUUUCCAGUGGGGAAGCUCUGAAUGGCCUGAGAUCUGAUAGACAUCCCAGAUUUUGGGGCUGAGUCCAGUGAAGUAUUUCUAAGCAUGCUUAACUCCAGGCACAUGACUGCUCCAGCAAAUAUUUGGAAGGCUUUCUACAGGCUUAAAGGUAAGCACA